rnacentral:SRP_RNA from 2 species
GCCGGGCAUAGUGGUGCAUGCCUGUAGUCCCAGCUACUCAGGAGGCUGAGGUGGAAGGAUUGCUUGAGCCCAGGAUAUUGAGGCUGCAAUGAGCUGUGAUCGUGCCACUGCACUCUAGCCUGGGCGACAAAGCCAGACCCUGUCUCAA